rnacentral:rRNA from 1 species
AGAGAUAGAUUGGUGCCUUCGGGAACAUUGAGACAGGUGCUGCAUGGCUGUCGUCAGCUCGUGUCGUGAGAUGUUGGGUUAAGUCCCGUAACGAGCGCAACCCUUGUCUUUAGUUACCAGCAAGUAAUGGUGGGCACUCUAAGGAGACUGCCGGUGACAAACCGGAGGAAGGUGGGGAUGACGUCGAGUCAUCAUGGCCCUUACGGCCUGGGAUACACACGUGAUACAAUGGUCGGUACAAAGGGUUGCCAAGCCCCGAGGUGGAGCUAAUCCCAUAAAACCGAUCGUAGUCCGGAUCGCAGUCUGCAACUCGAGUGCGUGAAGUCGGAAUCGCUAGUAAUCGUGAAUCAGAAUGUCACGGUCAAUACGUUCCCGGGCCUUGUACACACCGCCCGUCACACCAUGGGAGUGGGUUGCACCUGAAGUAGAUAGUCUAACCCUCGGGAGGACGGUUACCACGGUGUGAUUCAGGACUGGGGUGAAGUCGUAACAGGGUAACC